rnacentral:rRNA from 1 species
GUCUACGGCCAUACCACGUUGAAAGCACCAGUUCUCGUCCGAUCACUGAAGUUAAGCAACGUCGGGCUCGGUUAGUACUUGGAUGGGUGACCGCCUGGGAACACCGAGUGCUGUAGACUCCA